rnacentral:rRNA from 1 species
GACGAACGCUGGCGGCGUGCUUAACACAUGCAAGUCGAACGGAAAGGCCUCUUUCUGGGGGUACUCGAGUGGCGAACGGGUGAGUAACACGUGAGUAACCUGCCCUUGACUUUGGGAUAACUUCAGGAAACUGGGGCUAAUACCGGAUAGAAGCUCCUGCUGCAUGGUGGGGGUUGGAAAGUUUCGGCGGGUGGGGAUGGACUCGCGGCUUAUCAGCUUGUUGGUGGGGUAGUGGCUUACCAAGGCUUUGACGGGUAGCCGGCCUGAGAGGGUGACCGGCCACAUUGGGACUGGGAUACGGGCCAGAAUCCUACGGGGGGCAGCAGUGGGGAAUAUUGCACAAUGGGUGGAAGCCUGAUGCAGCAACGCCGUGUGCGGGAUGACGGGCUUCGGGUUGUAAACCGCUUUCGCUCAUGACGAAGCUUUGUGUGACGGUAGUGGGUAAAGAAGCACCGGCUAACUACGUG